rfam:Schistosoma mansoni strain Puerto Rico chromosome 1, complete genome
AUCCAGCUAACGAGUCUUAAAUAGGACGAAACGCGCGUCCUGGAU